GUUCCAUCAGACCCACAGAGUCAUCAAGUCAGGUAUGUCCAGCAGAAGUCCAUCAUGAGAUCAAAUUGUGCAUCUGGGGUCAAGUCUAAACAAGACCAGAAGUCCUAAGAAUUGUAUUAAAAACAAGUUCCCAUACUACUUCAGGGAAUACCAACAUACACAUAAAACUGCUUUUCUCUGAGAUCAACUUAUCUCAGACAGAAUGAUUGACCAGCUCCAAGGAACAUGGAAGUCCAUUUCUUGUGAAAAUUUCGAAGAAUACAUGAAGGAGCUGGGUAUAGGAAGAGCCAGCAGGAAACUGGGCCGUUUGGCAAAACCCACUGUGACCAUCAGUACAGAUGAAGAUGUCAUCACAAUAAAAACCAAAAGCAUCUUUAAAAAUAAUGAGAUCUCCUUUAAGCUGGGAGAAGAGUUUGAGGAGAUCAUGCCAGGUGGCCACAAAACAAAGAGUAAAGUAACCUUAGAUAAUGAGUCCCUGAUUCAAGUUCAGGACUGGGAUGGCAAAGAAACCACCAUAACGAGAAAGCUGGUGGAUGGGAAAAUGGUGGUGAAUCCAUCCUGCUCCCUUUCAGAUGGUUUCCCAGGUCACCUUCCCCACUUCUCCAGAGUAGAAUGAUGUGUGUUCAUGAUUUUUCUCCUCCCAAACCCCCACCUAUACCAAAAUGAAUAAAAAGGAAAGUGCUGUGAACAGUGUUAUCUGUACACGAACAUACGAGAAAGUAUCAUCAAACUCAGUCUCAAACUCUUAAGGCUUUCUCAAGCUGUCCUCCAGACUACUGAGGUUGUUUAAAUAAAACUCCAAAGUACGAUAUUACGACUGUUAA